UAGGCUUGACAUGCACGGGAAUGUCGUAGAAAUAUGGCAGCCCUUCGGGGCUCGUGCACAGGUGGUGCAUGGCUGUCGUCAGCUCGUGUCGUGAGAUGUUGGGUUAAGUCCCGCAACGAGCGCAACCCUUGUCAUUAGUUGCUACAUUCAGUUGGGCACUCUAAUGAGACUGCCGGUGACAAACCGGAGGAAGGUGGGGAUGACGUAU
rnacentral:misc_RNA from 1 species